CCUACGGGGGGCUGCAGUGGGGAAUAUUGCACAAUGGGGGAAACCCUGAUGCAGCAACGCCGCGUGAGCGAUGAAGGCCUUCGGGUCGUAAAGCUCUGUCCUAAGGGAAGAAUACUGACGGUACCGUAGGAGGAAGCCCCGGCUAACUAAGUGCCAGCAGCCGCGGUAAUACGUAGGGGGCUAGCGUUAUCCGGAAUUACUGGGCGUAAAGGGUACGUAGGCGGCCCUUCAAGGCAGAGGUGAUAUGCUACUGAUCAAGCGUAGUAAGCCUUUGAAAUUGUAGGGAUUAGGUGCAGAAGAGGAGAGUGGUAUUACGCGUGUAGAAGUGAAAUGCGUGGAUAUUGGGAGGAUCAGCAGGUGCGAUGGCGGCUGUCUGGAUUGAAACUGACACUGUGGCACGAAAGCGUGUGGAGCGAUCAGGGUUUGUUACCCUUGUAGUC
rnacentral:rRNA from 1 species